GAGUCAUACAUGAAAUCUGGUUGAAGAUGGACUUUACAGCAAAAUGGAAUGGGAGGGUCUCUUUUCCAGCCUCUCUCUCACGAUGACUUUUCAUUUCCAAAAUAUAGUUAUCAUGACACAGUUUGAUUAAACAUCAAUUUGGAUAAGAAUUUAAGGCUGCAUGUAGACGGUGGGAUCCAAACCCACGUAAUCUUAGGCUCCUCCUAAACUAAACGAAAAACCCUGCGACUCAUACUUUAAUGAGUUUUAAGCUCGAUCCGUGAGAGCACAUACUGAUUGAGGAUUCAAACGAUGGCCUGAGGACAAAUUUCAUGACGAGAAAAAAGUUAUUACAUCGGCGCUCUGUCACAAGUUCUCCCUGCAGGGCACUGAGGUGAGAGGAUUUCACAGGUUUCCGCUCUUUUUACCCCGACACUUUUUCCACGCAUACAUUCUGGGGCAGCGCUAACCAGAAGAUUAGAGGCCCAUACUUGGGGCCAGAAGAUUACCAGUUCGAAUCCCUGGACAUGCUAUGGAAAUCGGGAAAAGGGGGAGAGGAGAAGCAUUUCUUUAUCCUGCCCAGAGAAGUGUCAUUUAAGGAAAGGCCGGAGGCGAGGCACAUUACCCACAUCUCCACUCAGGCUCCAACAGUAAAAGACUGGACAGUAUUUGAACUAAGCAGCUUUUUUUGGUUAAAUUAGCCAUGCAGCCACUGUGUUACGGGGGGAAUGUGACACGCUGCUUUUUACUGUAUGAAGAUCAUCCCACACAUGCAAAAAAAAACACACACACACACACACACACACACACACUUGCACAUACACACUCAGAUAACCCUAGAGAGAAACCCUCCCCAGAGAUUACACUGCUCCAUUUAGUGUGAAGAAAAAAAUACAUCCUCCUCAGCCGUGAAGGGAAAGCAAAGACGGUGAGAAGACGCUGUGUACAAGUCCUCUCUCUCUCUGUCUGUCUGUGUAGAAUAUCCCUCUCACACAUGACAGAAAGUUUGCCUCCAUGUCCCCCUCCUGCCAAUCCCCAGUUAGUAUCUGCUCCAGAGGGAGCGCUCAGAAAUCUCCUCCCCCAUGGCAUCACCGGACGCCAUCUGAAUCAUCCCUCACAGCCCCAUAGUGCCUGGCAGGGCCCCCGGCAGCAGCUCCCCCAGGAGCCCCCCCAGCAGUUUCUGGACGAUCAGUGCGCUCCAGCUUUUUCUAUCCCUGCCCCAAAGUGACAGAGGGUGCACUCCGACUUAUGUGAUACCAGCCUUCAUGGAAAACAGUGCUCAUUUUUCAUAUGACAGAUUCCGCCAUGCCCACAUCUGUACACUUUAAGCCCUAUAUUAGAGCAUCCGGUAAUGUAUGCGUCAGCAUUUGUUAGGCCCGCAGGACAGAUGUUCAGAAUCGGUAGCGUGAGCGAUUAAUAACCCAUAGCAGCCAUUUUUAUGUGGGGAAAAAAAAUGACCAUCCAGAACGAAGCUGCCAGCCCCAGUCCCCUCUAAAGGCAUAUCCAUCGGCCUCUUCACCAGAUAUGAGUUGUUGGAAUGGUGCCACUCCGCCCCACACUCAAGGUCGCUCUUUAUCUUUGCUCCUGGACAGGCAGGUGACGCACACCGGCCCUUAGGCAAGGACAUCGGGAGCAAAGAGAAAUCCACCAGUUUCCCCCAGAUAUAUGACAGGUUGCCUCUGGGGGGGAGGGGGAUUAAACACACCAAAGUAAUGCUACAGGGAAGAACCUGCCAAGUUGUCAAUAAUCACUAGCCUGCACAGGCACCAUGGGAGUUAGAGGUUUCGGCCAACUCCUCUAAGACAUCUUGGGCCCAAUCACUGUGAUAUAUAUCUUCCUUGUUCUAAGUCCCAGUCCUCAGAGCACAGAUACACCUGGAGCCAUUUUGAGCCGGUCCCUUUCCACUAAGGCUGGACAUAUAUUGUGCAACUUCGAAAUGUUUCCACCUCACGCUGUACGAGUAGAUUGUCCGAGAUGUGCAUGGAGCCUAAGCUCACGAUUAAUGUGUUAACACUGGUCCAGUUGUCUGAUGGAACCUCGGCUCACGCUGUGCGUUACAUCGACUCCUACGAACCAGCCCCUGACUGGUGUUUCUGUCAAAGAGGAAGUCAAAGUUUGUUUGGUAAUAAUGUUAACAAGGCGUCAUCAUAUGGCGACGCAGGUGGUUUGCAGGACGUGGGCAUUUGGGUUUGGCUGUUUUGAAGAAAGAAAGUGCUUUACAUUUGAUACAAAAGACAUCAUGAAAAACUGUAAAAGCAAAAAAUAAAAAGCAUUUACCUUCA